rnacentral:tRNA from 1 species
GGGGAUUUAGCUUAGUGGUAGAGCACUUGCUCAGCAUGCAUGAAGUCCUAGGUUCAAUUCCCA